GUGAUGCCCGUGUCCAGAGAUACUGGACGCGUUACGGUCACUGCUCAGAUGUACUUAAGCCAGAUAUUCAAUUUAGACGAGGUGUACCAGAUGUUGUCAUUUUCAGCCAUCUUCGUAGUGAAAUGGAACGACGGACGCUUGGCAUGGAACGCCUCAGAAUUUGGAAAUAUUUCCAGCAUUGCUCUGCCUCUGUCGUC